rnacentral:tRNA from 1 species
GCCCAAGUGGUGAAAUUGGCAUACACGCUAGAUUAAGGCUCUAGUAGGGAGACCUGUGCAGGUUCGACUCCUGUCUUGGGCACCA